rfam:Klebsiella pneumoniae IS39, WGS project CBWT01000000 data, contig: c161
CCCGCUGAACUGCUGGCGCCCUAUACCGGCGAUAUUGUGGCCGAAGGCGUCGGUAAAGUCCUGCGCGGCGGCGCUCAGUUUCUGCUGAAGGGGGCAGAGCGCCAGCAGCGCUAUGUCGCGGAAGCGAUCACUGAAGAGUGGCGCCUGGCGCCGGGGCCGCUGGAGCUGGCCUGGUUUGCUGAAGAGACAACGGCUAUUGAGCGCGCGCUGGCCGCACUGGAAAAACGGCUGGAAACGCUGGAGGGCAAAUGA